CCUACGGGUGGCAGCAGUGAGGAAUAUUGGUCAAUGGACGAGAGUCUGAACCAGCCAAGUAGCGUGAAGGAUGACUGCCCUAUGGGUUGUAAACUUCUUUUAUAUGGGAAUAAAACGUUCCACGUGUGGGAUUUUGUAUGUACCAUAUGAAUAAGGAUCGGCUAACUCCGUGCCAGCAGCCGCGGUAAUACGGAGGAUCCGAGCGUUAUCCGGAUUUAUUGGGUUUAAAGGGAGCGUAGGUGGAUUGUUAAGUCAGUUGUGAAAGUUUGCGGCUCAACCGUAAAAUUGCAGUUGAAACUGGCAGUCUUGAGUACAGUAGAGGUGGGCGGAAUGCGUGUGGUAGCGGUGAAAUGCUUAGAUAUCACGAAGAACUCCGAUUGCGAAGGCAGUUCACUGGACUGCAACUGACACUGAGGCUCGAAAGUGUGGGUAUCAAACAGGAUUAGAUACCCCUGUAGUC
rnacentral:rRNA from 1 species